AGUGGGCGUGCAGGAGAAGCUGUAGGUCAGGAGGUAGAGUUGGCAGUGGGCGUGCAGGAGAAGCUGUAGGUCGGAGAGGUAGAGGUGGCAGUGGGCGUGCAGGAGAAGCUGUAGGUCAGGGGGUAGAGGUGGCAGUGGGCGUGCAGGAGAAGCUGUAGGUCAGAGUGGAUAGGUGGCAGUGGGCGUGCAGGAGAAGCUGUAGGUCAGGAGGUAGAGGUGGCAGUGGGCGUGCAGGAGAAGCUGUAGGUCAGGAGGUAGAGGUGGCAGUGGGCGUGCAGGAGAAGCUGUAGGUCAGGAGGUAGAGUUGGCAGUGGGCGUGCAGGAGAAGCUGUAGGUCGGAGAGGUAGAGGUGGCAGUGGGCGUGCAGGAGAAGCUGUAGGUCAGAGUGGAGAGGUGGCAGUGGGCGUGCAGGAGAAGGUGUAGGUCGGGAGGUAGAGGUGGCAGUGGGCGUGCAGGAGAAGCUGUAGGUC
rnacentral:lncRNA from 1 species